GAUGAACGCUGGCGGCGUGCUUAACACAUGCAAGUCGAACGGAAAGGCCCAAGCUUGCUUGGGUGCUCGAGUGGCGAACGGGUGGGUAACACGUGGGGGAUCUGCCCUGCACUUCGGGAUAAGCCGGGGAAACUGGGUCUAAUCCGGGAUGGGACCACAUUUUGGAGGGUGUGUUGGAAAGUUUUUCGGUGUGGGAUGAGCUCGCGGCCUAUCAGCUUGUUGGUGGGGUAAUGGCCUACCAAGGCGUCGACGGGUAGCCGGCCUGAGAGGGUGUACGGCCACAUUGGGACUGAGAUACGGCCCAGACUCCUACGGGAGGCAGCAGUGGGGAAUAUUGCACAAUGGGCGCAAGCCUGAUGCAGCGACGCCGCGUGGGGGAUGACGGCCUUCGGGUUGUAAACUCCUUUCGCUAGGGACGAAGCGUUUUUGUGACGGUACCUGGAGAAGAAGCACCGGCUAACUACGUG
rnacentral:rRNA from 1 species